rnacentral:rRNA from 1 species
AGAGUUUGAUCCUGGCUUAGGAUGAACGCUGGCGGCGUGCCUAACACAUGCAAGUCGAGCGAUUCUCUUCGGAGAAGAGCGGCGGACGGGUGAGUAACGCGUGGGUAACCUGCCUCAUACACAUGGAUAACAUACCGAAAGGUAUGCUAAUACAAGAUAAUAUAAGAAAUUCACAUGGAUUUCUUAUCAAAGCUCCGGCGGUAUGAGAUGGACCCGCGUCUGAUUAGCUAGUUGGUAAGGUAACGGCUUACCAAGGCGACGAUCAGUAGCCGACCUGAGAGGGUGAUCGGCCACAUUGGAACUGAGACACGGUCCAAACUCCUACGGGAGGCAGCAGUGGGGAAUAUUGCACAAUGGGCGAAAGCCUGAUGCAAGCAACGCCGCGUGAGUGAUGAAGGCCUUCGGGUCGUAAAACUCUGUCCUCAAGGAAGAUAAUGACGGUACUUGAGGAGGAAGCCCCGGCUAACUACGUGCCAGCAGCAGC